UACGGAGGGUGCAAGCGUUAUCCGGAUUCACUGGGUUUAAAGGGUGCGUAGGCGGGCAGGUAAGUCAGUGGUGAAAUCUUUGGGCUUAACCCGAAAACUGCCAUUGAUACUAUCUGUCUUGAAUAUUGUGGAGGUAAGCGGAAUAUGUCAUGUAGCGGUGAAAUGCUUAGAUAUGACAUAGAACACCCAUUGCGAAGGCAGCUUACUACGCAUAUAUUGACGCUGAUGCACGAAAGCGUGGGGAUCAAACAGG
rnacentral:rRNA from 1 species